rnacentral:tRNA from 1 species
UUUGAGUGUGAUACUUUAAAAGGGAGCAUGGUCUCAAAGUGAGCCUAUGGGGAAUUAGCUCAUCUGGGAGAGCACCUGCUUUGCAAGCAGGGGGUCAGCGGUUCGAUCCCGCUAUUCUCCAUAGCUAGUCGAAAGGCUAGGAUGUUGUACAUUGAAAACUGAAUAUUAACAAAUUCUUUUAAAAGCAAUCGUAAGAUUGCGCUAAAAUGAACCGUUAAACAACACAAAAUUCUCUUUACAAUUAAGCGUUGAUCGCUGGUCUGAAAAAUGACCAGCUCUUAAACUGAAACCACAUCUUCCGUUGCAUAGGGCAAGUUAUUACGGGCGCGUGGUGGAUGCCUUGGCACUAAGACUCUUCGAU